rnacentral:rRNA from 1 species
UACGAAGGGGGCUAGCGUUGCUCGGAAUUACUGGGCGUAAAGGGCGCGUAGGCGGCACUGUUAGUCAGGCGUGAAAGUCCUGGGCUCAACCUGGGAACUGCGCUUGAUACGGCAGAGCUAGAGGAUGGAAGAGGCUCGCGGAAUUCCCAGUGUAGAGGUGAAAUUCGUAGAUAUUGGGAAGAACACCGGUGGCGAAGGCGGCGAGCUGGUCCAUUACUGACGCUGAGGCGCGACAGCAUGGGGAGCAAAAGGG